rnacentral:rRNA from 1 species
UACGUAGGGUGCAAGCGUUAAUCGGAAUUACUGGGCGUAAAGCGUGCGCAGGCGGUUGUGCAAGACCGAUGUGAAAUCCCCAGGCUCAACCUGGGAACUGCGUCCGAUACUGGAUGGCUUGAAUCCGGGAGAGGGAUGCAGAAUUCCAGGUGUAGCGGUGAAAUGCGUAGAUAUCUGGAGGAAUACCGGUGGCGAAGGCGGCAUCCUGGACCAACACUGACGCUGAGGAGCGAAAGCCAGGGGAGCAAACGGG